UUCGGAUGCUGACGAGUGGCGAACGGGUGAGUAAUGCAUCGGAACGUGCCCAGUCGUGGGGGAUAACGCAGCGAAAGCUGUGCUAAUACCGCAUACGAUCUAUGGAUGAAAGCGGGGGAUCGCAAGACCUCGCGCGAUUGGAGCGGCCGAUGUCAGAUUAGCUAGUUGGUGGGGUAAAGGCCCACCAAGGCGACGAUCUGUAGCUGGUCUGAGAGGACGACCAGCCACACUGGGACUGAGACACGGCCCAGACUCCUACGGGAGGCAGCAGUGGGGAAUUUUGGACAAUGGGCGCAAGCCUGAUCCAGCAAUGCCGCGUGCAGGAAGAAGGCCUUCGGGUUGUAAACUGCUUUUGUACGGAACGAAAAGGUCUGGGUUAAUACCCUGGGCUCAUGACGGUACCGUAAGAAUAAGCACCGGCUAACUACGUGCCAGCAGCCGCGGUAAUA
rnacentral:rRNA from 1 species